rnacentral:rRNA from 1 species
UACGUAGGGACCGAGCGUUGUCCGGAUUCAUUGGGCGUAAAGAGCUCGUAGGCGGCCACUCAAGUCGAAUGUGAAACCUCGAGGCUUAACCUCGAGCCUGCAUUCGAUACUGGGCGGCUAGAGUCUGGUAGGGGGAUCUGGAAUUCCUGGUGUAGCGGUGGAAUGCGCAGAUAUCAGGAGGAACACCGGUGGCGAAGGCGGUUGCCUGGGGCUUUGCUGACGCUGAUGCGCGAAAGCGUGGGGAGCGAUCCGG